rnacentral:sRNA from 1 species
AAAACUUCUAGUUCUUUCAAAACUUCUAAUUUACUUUUCAUUGCUUAUCAGUUACUCCCUUAAUUAGAUCUUAUAAUCAAAAUUACUUCCAUGUAUUUUAAUAAUCAAUCAUAUGUUAAUAAAACAAUAACGAGAUAAUAAUUAAAAUUUUAGAUUCUAAUAUAAACGAUACUAAAUUUAAUUUGACUAGCUAUGUAAGAUCUUAUAUUCACUUCAGAAUAUGAGUAUUACUUAUCAUCAAUAACUCAUAUAAAUUUCUUUCAAAUAUUGUGUCUACAGGACAACGAUACUUGCGUAAAAGUUUAAUCGUCUGUUUUACCAUCUCCGCAUCAGAGAUAUUCUCUUAACAAUGUGAGUUAUAUUCAAAAAGAGACUUCAAGUCUUGAAGUUUUAGUAAUAACUAAUUAUAAUUUAUUUUAUCUAAUAACACAUUCAUAUAAGAAUUGCUUCAUACAACUUUUAGAUCUUUAGUAGUCAAAGAUUGAACAUAAUCUUCUGGAUAUGUCACUUAUUAUCCAUUCAUUACUUCUCCUUCUCGAGAUGAUGAAACUUCAAGUUCAUCCAUCUCGUAUUGAAUUCCACUCUAGAAUCAUAAUGUAUUUAUAUCUCAUCAUAUUAACUUUGAGAUUUGGAGAACUAUACCGCAUCGAUAAUUUUAAUUUUGUAUUCCCAUAGAAAACAAUGUAUAUGCUCUUCUAGAGUCUUUUAAUAAGAUUUUAUACUACUUGAUAUACUAGAUUAUUUCAUCGUUAGAAUUUUUUUUUUUUUUU